GUGAUCGGCCACAUUGGGACUGAGACACGGCCCAAACUCCUACGGGAGGCAGCAGUGGGGAAUAUUGGGCAAUGGGGGGAACCCUGACCCAGCAACGCCGCGUGGAGGAAGAAGGUUUUCGGAUCGUAAACUCCUGUCCUUGGAGACGAGUAGAAGACGGUAUCCAAGGAGGAAGCCCCGGCUAACUACGUGCCAGCAGCCGCGGUAAUACGUAGGGGGCAAGCGUUGUCCGGAAUAAUUGGGCGUAAAGGGCGCGUAGGCGGCUCGGUAAGUCUGGAGUGAAAGUCCUGCUUUUAAGGUGGGAAUUGCUUUGGAUACUGUCGGGCUUGAGUGCAGGAGAGGUUAGUGGAAUUCCCAGUGUAGCGGUGAAAUGCGUAGAGAUUGGGAGGAACACCAGUGGCGAAGGCGACUAACUGGACUGUAACUGACGCUGAGGCGCGAAAGUGUGGGGAGCAAACAGGAUUAGAUACCCUGGUAGUCCACACUGUAAACGAUGAAUGCUAGGUGUAGGGGGUAUCGACCCCUUCUGUGCCGCAGUCAACACAAUAAGCAUUCCGCCUGGGGAGUACGGCCGCAAGGUUGAAACUCAAAGGAAUUGACGGGGGCCCGCACAAGCAGCGGAGCAUGUGGUUUAAUUCGACGCAACGCGAAGAACCUUACCAGGUCUUGACAUCCACUUAAACUUACAGAGAUGUAAGGUGUGCUUGCACAAAGUGAGACAGGUGGUGCAUGGUUGUCGUCAGCUCGUGUCGUGAGAUGUUGGGUUAA
rnacentral:rRNA from 1 species